rnacentral:rRNA from 1 species
GAUGAACGCUGGCGGCGUGCCUAAUACAUGCAAGUCGAGCGAACAGACGAGGAGCUUGCUCCUCAGACGAUAGCGGCGGACGGGUGAAUAACACGUGGGUAACCUACUUAAAAGACUGGGAUAACUUCGGGAAACCGGAGCUAAUAGCGGAUAAUAUAUUGAACCGCAUGGUUCAAGAGUGAAAGACGGUUUGGCUGGCACUCAUAGAUGGAUCCGCGCGGCAUUAGCUAGUUGGUAAGGUAACGGCUUACCAAGGCAACGAGGCGUAGCCGAGCUGAGAGGGUGAUCGGCCACACUGGAACUGAGACACGGUCCAGACUCCUACGGGAGGCAGCAGUAGGGAAUCUUCCGCAAUGGGCGAAAGCUUGACGGAGCAACGCCGCGUGAGUGAUGAAGGUCUUCGGAUCGUAAAACUCUGUUAUUAGGGAAGAACAAAUGUGUAAGUAACUAUGCACGUCUUGACGGUACCUAAUCAGAAAGCCACGGCUAACUACGUG